AAAGCAAAAUUCUAACAAUAUAUAAGAAUCCAAACUGUUUGCUGAUAAGAUGCUGCAGGCUCCAAACAUAUACAAGGAAGAGGCAAUGUCAGACAUGUAAAUAAAACAAAUCACACAAGCAAACAGAAUAGGAGAGUGCAUAUCCUAGCAAACUAUGCCUUUGUAGUCUAUUGGCUAGAAGUGGGGACAGUGUGGUGCUCUGGAAUCCCUGGAGACCAGGAGCAUGAAUGCAGCUAGAAGUCACAUGGUAUGGGAGAAGGCUGAGGUCUCAGCUCUACCACCAAACCCUGUAGAAGCCAUUGGAUCAGCUGGAGAGCUGCUGUAUGCUUGGUGGAUUGACCAUAGGUUAUGAACACCACUGCCAGCAUGCUCCCGGACACAGUUUCCCCAAGCCAAUUAGACCCUCAUGGAGAAAGCCAAGGCACUGAACUAAGGGAUGGUGCAGGCUAGUGAGUAUUUCCCAUAGGUAUUGUGAACAAAGG